UACGUAGGGGGCAAGCGUUGUCCGGAAUCAUUGGGCGUAAAGCGCACGUAGGCGGCUUUUCAAGUCCCAUGUGAAAGCCCACGGCUUAACCGUGGAAGUGCAUGGGAAACUGGAGAGCUUGAGUACUUAAGAGGAUCGCGGAAUUCCCGGUGUAGAGGUGAAAUUCGGUAGAUAUCGGGAGGAACACCAGUGGCGAAGGCGGCGAUCUGGGAAGAUACUGACGCUGAGGUGCGAAAGCGUGGGGAGC
rnacentral:rRNA from 1 species